GCCGGGGUGGCUGAGAGGCUUAGGCGGCGGGCUGCAGACCCGCAUCACAGGGGUUCGAAUCCCCUCCCCGGCU
rnacentral:tRNA from 1 species